GACGAACGCUGGCGGCGUGCUUAACACAUGCAAGUCGAACGGUAAGGCCCUGCUUUUGUGGGGUGCUCGAGUGGCGAACGGGUGAGUAACACGUGAGUAACCUGCCCUUGACUUUGGGAUAACUUCAGGAAACUGUGGCUAAUACCGGAUAGGAGCUCCUGCUGCAUGGUGGUGGUUGGAAAGGUUCGGCGGUUGGGGAUGGACUCGCGGCUUAUCAGCUUGUUGGUGGGGUAGUGGCUUACCAAGGCUUUGACGGGUAGCCGGCCUGAGAGGGUGACCGGCCACAUUGGGACUGAGAUACGGCCCAGACUCCUACGGGAGGCAGCAGUGGGGAAUAUUGCACAAUGGGCGGAAGCCUGAUGCAGCAACGCCGCGUGCGGGAUGACGGCCUUCGGGUUGUAAACCGCUUUCGCCUGUGACGAAGCGUGAGUGACGGUAAUGGGUAAAGAAGCACCGGCUAACUACGUG
rnacentral:rRNA from 1 species